rnacentral:lncRNA from 1 species
GCUGGUCAGAGCCCGGGUGAUUGUCUCAGAUCUUCCCACGGUACUCUAGACCGAGGAGAUUUUGAGGCAGCUGGCCCAGCUUCCUCCUUCAUGUCACAAUUAAGACUGUCGGGUGAGGGGUAAUAAAUCUGCUGCGGCUCUUCCCUGUUAUAUCACAACAGCCCCCAGAUGUAGGAAGCCUCGGGAACCUCGUCUCGCAGGUCAGUUGUGGCCAGGGUUCUUCCCAGUCUCCCUCACUGCUGUGAUGCCCCCGUCGUCGCUCCGCUCAGCCGCAGGAGCGUCCCGUUUCUGACGAGUGGGCGGCGUGAUUUGCGAGCACCGGUCUCUCCAGUUAAGGAGGGCGAGAUUCUCAGCCCUCGUGCAGCUGCAGGCAGUAGCCCUGGCCCCUCUCGGAGACGACGACGGUCCAGUCACAAAACCAUUCCUUUUCUCUCCAGUUCAUACACUUCUCUUCCGAAAUCUGUGUAAAUGGUCGCUUUUUCCACGUAACAAUUACAUAUUUUGAGCUUUCUUGUAUUUUAGUUAAUUGCUCCAUUAAUUACAUUAUUUUCUAGCAAAGGAAACCUGCGUGCUCGUUUACAGUGUACAAUAGAAAAUUUGUGACUCUCCAAAGAGCUCUGCAAGACGAAAGUAAUGAUCAAGUUUAUAUCCUCCAAGAGCUAAAAACUGUGCCUAUGUUUGAGUAAGGCAAGUCACUUUCCCUGUGAAAUUAUGAAAAUUUUCAAAUACUGAGAAAAGGUCAAAAGAAUUGUACAAUGAACAACCCACGUUUCCACUACCUUGAUUCUACGGUUAACUCCGCCCCGCUCCCUCCCGUCAGAACUGGUGGUGGAGGGAUUGAACCCUGUGCCUUGUCCAUGGUAGGCCACAUCCCCAACCAUACAAUUAACACUUUUCUUUAUCUGCCUUAUCACUUAUAGUAUCCAUAUACUCAUCCAUCCACACAUGUUUUGGAACAUUUAAUCUUUGAUCACCCAGGUGUAAUUAAAGACUAAUGUUAUUUGGCCAGUGGCACACGCCCUUAAUCUCAGCUACUCAGAGGCUGAGGCAGGAGAAUCCUAUCACCAGUAUGGGCAUUUUAGCAAGACCCUGACUCAAAAUAAACUUAAAAAAAAAGGACUGGGGACAUGUUUCAGUGGUAGAGUAUACCUGGGUUCAAUCCGUAGUACCAAACAAGAAAAAAACCUGAUAACUUUAAAAGCCACUUCCAAUUAUCUUUGGAUUCCUUUACAAAAUAUAUUCUACAAAACAUGCUGUAAAGAUAAAAGUUUAUUGUUUUAAAAGUAGACUUUGAAACCCCAACAGGAUAAAUGGGAAAAUUUGGUUCAUUUAAAAUUUUGCCAAAUAUUGAUAGCCAAACAGGACAGUUACGUGUUAGAAAUGUAUACUAAACAAGAUCCCUCCCCUUAAGGGAAACUAUUUGGGGCAGAGGUCUUUUAAUCUUGGGCCAGGUGGUCUGUGAGACUAUACCCAAAAUGUUGUGUGUAAGUACAUUUUUUCUGGGGAAUGUAAAAUGUCCAUAGCUUUGAUUUAAUACUCUCCCUCUUCCACUCCAACUGAUAAACUAUAAUGCAGCAUUCUUUGGGGCAUUAAAGAGUUAUGAAUACAAUAUUAUGGGAAUCCAGAACAGUAAACCACUAAUUGUGGGCAAGUUUAAUCUCCAUUGAUAUAUGUCUUAUAUGUGUUGUUAAUAGACCUUUCUUGAUUAAUGGGCAAAAAGGAAACCAAGAAUUACGUGACUAUUUUUCCAUUUGGAUCCAUUCACAUGAUUUUAUUGUGACCUAGGUAAUAAUUUCAACCAUACUGUAGAUGAAUAUUUUAGUCUUUAAGUUUUAAAAUCAACCAACUGAUACAUAUGAAUGAUUUAAUUAUUAAUUCACCAUUGCAGUGCAAAAAUUUUAAAUUACCAAAGAAUGGCAAGUGAGUAAUGGUGUAAGUGGAAUCACCGAUGUCUUCAACUUCAUCCCAGGGAGUAAGUAGAUAUUUCUAGAAAGGCUAAAUGAAGACAAAGAGCUUUAAAUACAAUAUUUGGACAUAAAGAAAACCUCUAGAGGAAAUAAAAUUAACAGAAAUCGGGCAUUGCAGCUGGUAAGAGAAAUAAUGUAAAUGGCAAUAAAUUUCUUAUUUUGACAGUAUGGAGUCAGUAGAUUCUAAAGAAACAAGGUUUUGUUUUUUACGUAAGUGGAAGUGUUUAUAACAUGGGGUUAGAGGAUGAAGAUGAGGAAAAAGAAAUGGCAAUGUUAAAUUUUAUAUUAUUCUGCACUGUUUGGAUUUACAUUAUCUGUAUGCUUUUCUCUUCU